rnacentral:rRNA from 1 species
UACGAAGGGGGCUAGCGUUGCUCGGAAUCACUGGGCGUAAAGCGCACGUAGGCGGAUUGUUAAGUCAGGGGUGAAAUCCUGGAGCUCAACUCCAGAACUGCCUUUGAUACUGGCGAUCUCGAGUCCGGGAGAGGUGAGUGGAACUGCGAGUGUAGAGGUGAAAUUCGUAGAUAUUCGCAAGAACACCAGUGGCGAAGGCGGCUCACUGGCCCGGUACUGACACUGAGGUGCGAAAGCGUGGGGAGCAAACAGG